rnacentral:rRNA from 1 species
CGGUUAAGUUAGAAAGGGCGCACGGUGGAUGCCUUGGCACUAGGAGCCGAUGAAGGACGGGACGAACACCGAUAUGCUUCGGGGAGCUGUAAGCAAGCUUUGAUCCGGAGAUUUCCGAAUGGGGAAACCCACCACUCGUAAUGGAGUGGUAUCCAUAUCUGAAUACAUAGGAUAUGAGAAGGCAGACCCGGGGAACUGAAACAUCUAAGUACCCGGAGGAAGAGAAAGCAAAUGCGAUUCCCUGAGUAGCGGCGAGCGAAACGGGACCAGCCCAAACCAAGAGGCUUGCCUCUUGGGGUUGUAGGACACUCUGUACGGAGUUACAAAGGAACGAGGUAGAUGAAGAGGUCUGGAAAGGCCCGCCAUAGGAGGUAACAGCCCUGUAGUCAAAACUUCGUUCUCUCCUGAGUGGAUCCUGAGUACGGCGGAACACGUGAAAUUCCGUCGGAAUCCGGGAGGACCAUCUCCCAAGGCUAAAUACUCCCUAGUGACCGAUAGUGAACCAGUACCGUGAGGGAAAGGUGAAAAGCACCCCGGAAGGGGAGUGAAAGAGAUCCUGAAACCGUGUGCCUACAAGUAGUCAGAGCCCGUUAACGGGUGAUGGCGUGCCUUUUGUAGAAUGAACCGGCGAGUUACGAUCCCGUGCAAGGUUAAGCAGAAGAUGCGGAGCCGCAGCGAAAGCGAGUCUGAAUAGGGCGAAUUGAGUACGUGGUCGUAGACCCGAAACCAGGUGAUCUACCCAUGUCCAGGGUGAAGUUCAGGUAACACUGAAUGGAGGCCCGAACCCACGCACGUUGAAAAGUGCGGGGAUGAGGUGUGGGUAGGGGUGAAAUGCCAAUCGAACCUGGAGAUAGCUGGUUCUCUCCGAAAUAGCUUUAGGGCUAGCCUCAAGGUAAGAGUCUCGGAGGUAGAGCACUGAUUGGACUAGGGGCCCCUACCGGGUUACCGAAUUCAGUCAAACUCCGAAUGCCGAUGACUUAUCCUUGGGAGUCAGACUGCGAGUGAUAAGAUCCGUAGUCGAAAGGGAAACAGCCCAGACCGCCAGCUAAGGUCCCAAAGUAUACGUUAAGUGGAAAAGGAUGUGGAGUUGCUUAGACAACCAGGAUGUUGGCUUAGAAGCAGCCACCAUUUAAAGAGUGCGUAAUAGCUCACUGGUCGAGUGACUCUGCGCCGAAAAUGUACCGGGGCUAAACGUAUCACCGAAGCUGCGGACUGUUCUUCGAACAGUGGUAGGAGAGCGUUCUAAGGGCUGUGAAGCAAGACCGGAAGGACUUGUGGAGCGCUUAGAAGUGAGAAUGCCGGUAUGAGUAGCGAAAGAGGGGUGAGAAUCCCCUCCACCGAAUGCCUAAGGUUUCCUGAGGAAGGCUCGUCCGCUCAGGGUUAGUCGGGACCUAAGCCGAGGCCGAAAGGCGUAGGCGAUGGAUAACAGGUUGAUAUUCCUGUACCACCUCCUCACCAUUUGAGCAAUGGGGGACGCAGGAGGAUAGGGUAAGCGCGGUAUUGGAUAUCCGCGUCCAAGCAGUUAGGCUGGGAAAUAGGCAAAUCCGUUUCCCGUGAAGGCUGAGCUGUGAUGGCGAGCGAAUUAUAGUAGCAAAGUUCCUGAUUCCACACUGCCAAGAAAAGCCUCUAGCGAGGUGAGAGGUGCCCGUACCGCAAACCGACACAGGUAGGCGAGGAGAGAAUCCUAAGGUGAUCGAGAGAACUCUCGUUAAGGAACUCGGCAAAAUGACCCCGUAACUUCGGGAGAAGGGGUGCUCUGUUAGGGUGCAAGCCCGAGAGAGCCGCAGUGAAUAGGCCCAGGCGACUGUUUAGCAAAAACACAGGUCUCUGCGAAGCCGUAAGGCGAAGUAUAGGGGCUGACGCCUGCCCGGUGCUGGAAGGUUAAGAGGAGCGCUUAGCGUAAGCGAAGGUGCGAAUUGAAGCCCCAGUAAACGGCGGCCGUAACUAUAACGGUCCUAAGGUAGCGAAAUUCCUUGUCGGGUAAGUUCCGACCCGCACGAAAGGCGCAACGAUCUGGGCACUGUCUCAACGAGAGACUCGGUGAAAUUAUAGUACCUGUGAAGAUGCAGGUUACCCGCGACAGGACGGAAAGACCCCGUGGAGCUUUACUGCAGCCUGAUAUUGAAUGUUGGUACAGCUUGUACAGGAUAGGUAGGAGCCUUGGAAACCGGAGCGCCAGCUUCGGUGGAGGCAUCGGUGGGAUACUACCCUGGCUGUAUUGACCUUCUAACCCGCCGCCCUUAUCGGGCGGGGAGACAGUGUCAGGUGGGCAGUUUGACUGGGGCGGUCGCCUCCUAAAAGGUAACGGAGGCGCCCAAAGGUUCCCUCAGAAUGGUUGGAAAUCAUUCGCAGAGUGUAAAGGCGCAAGGGAGCUUGACUGCGAGACCUACAAGUCGAGCAGGGACGAAAGUCGGGCUUAGUGAUCCGGUGGUUCCGCAUGGAAGGGCCAUCGCUCAACGGAUAAAAGCUACCCCGGGGAUAACAGGCUUAUCUCCCCCAAGAGUCCACAUCGACGGGGAGGUUUGGCACCUCGAUGUCGGCUCAUCGCAUCCUGGGGCUGUAGUCGGUCCCAAGGGUUGGGCUGUUCGCCCAUUAAAGCGGUACGCGAGCUGGGUUCAGAACGUCGUGAGACAGUUCGGUCCCUAUCCGUCGCGGGCGCAGGAAAUUUGAGAGGAGCUGUCCUUAGUACGAGAGGACCGGGAUGGACGCACCGCUGGUGUACCAGUUGUUCUGCCAAGGGCAUCGCUGGGUAGCUAUGUGCGGACGGGAUAAGUGCUGAAAGCAUCUAAGCAUGAAGCCCCCCUCAAGAUGAGAUUUCCCAUUCCGCAAGGAAGUAAGAUCCCUGAAAGAUGAUCAGGUUGAUAGGUCUGAGGUGGAAGUGUGGCGACACAUGGAGCUGACAGAUACUAAUCGAUCGAGGACUUAACCAAUUU